UACGUAGGGUGCGAGCGUUGCCCGGAUUUAUUGGGCGUAAAGGGCGCGUAGGCGGCUCGGCACGUCCGUUGUGAAAUCGCCCGGCUCAACUGGGCGGGGUCAGCGGAUACGGUCGAGCUUGAGCAAGCUAGGGGGCAAUGGAAUUCCCGGUGUAGUGGUGGAAUGCGUAGAUAUCGGGAGAAACACCAGUGGCGAAGGCGGUUGCCUGGAGCUUUGCUGACGCUGAGGCGCGAAAGCGUGGGGAGCGAUCCGG
rnacentral:rRNA from 1 species